rnacentral:rRNA from 1 species
UACGGGGGGGGCAAGCGUUGUUCGGAAUUACUGGGCGUAAAGCGCUCGUAGGCGGCCAACUAAGUCAUACGUGAAAUCCCUCGGCUUAACCGGGGAACUGCGUCUGAUACUGGAUGGCUUGAGUUCGGGAGAGGGAUGCGGAAUUCCAGGUGUAGCGGUGAAAUGCGUAGAUAUCUGGAGGAACACCGGUGGCGAAGGCGGCAUCCUGGACCGAUACUGACGCUGAGGAGCGAAAGCCAGGGGAGCAAACGGG